AUGAGUGCAUGCUCUAUAUCUUCAACCAACCAAAUAACGAAUAAUGCCACAGGAAACAAAAUAUGGAAGAAAACACACGAAUAACAUUAAGCCAAUGUAGCAAAAGAACAGAGACAAACAAGGAAAAUGGCAUGUCGGACACUUAAUGGAAGCAUGCUAACAGAAAUACUACUUUCCACAAUAACAGACGCCAUAUCAACCCUAUAUGACAACCUGCUCGCCGAUAGUUCAUGUUUGAUGUUUCCACAUUUUUAUUUCAGCAUUCAAAACAUCUAGAGAACCCAUCUAGUUCUAGGCAAAGAAAACUCCAGGAGCUCCUUUAUUUUAGCAUUCAAAACAUCUAAAGAACCGAAAUAGAAAAAUCAAACUCCAGGUGCAAGCAGUCCAGUAAAUAACACAUAAAUUUUACCUUCAGUUGUCUCCCAAGCAACGCCUCCGACAAAAAUCUUUCUGCAAAAGAAAAAGUAUUAGCUCUCCUGCUAAACUAUAUCCUUGAAAUUCAGAACAAAUACAAUUACCCUAAAGCCCAAAUCGCUCACCCCAACGAGUCGCCACCCGCCCCCCUCCCAUCCUCUCCAACAGCAUAAGCGUACCCAGAGCCCCCAUCCCGGCCUACCCGCCUCC
rnacentral:lncRNA from 1 species